GUUUGAUCCUGGCUCAGGAUGAACGCUGGCGGCAGGCUUAAUACAUGCAAGUCGAACGGUAACAUGUCGGAGCAAUCUGAUGAUGACGAGUGGCGCACGGGUGCGUAACGCGUAUGCAACCUACCUUUAAUUGGAACAUAACGUUGAGAAAUCGGCGCUAAUAUUCCAUGUGAAUAUGAGAUGGCAUCAUUUUAUAUUUAAAGAUUUAUUGAUUAAGGAUGGGCAUGCGUAUCAUUAGCUAGUUGGUGGGGUAACGGCUUACCAAGGCUACGAUGAUUAGGGGUUCUGAGAGGAAGGUCCCCCACACUGGAACUGAGACACGGUCCAGACUCCUACGGGAGGCAGCAGUGAGGAAUAUUGGUCAAUGGACGAGAGUCUGAACCAGCCAAGUCGCGUGAAGGAAGACGGUUCUAUGGAUUGUAAACUUCUUUGCAGGAGAGUAAAAAAGGGGACGUGUCCCCACUUGCAAGUACCCUGCGAAUAAGCAUCGGCUAACUCCGUGCCAGCAGCCGCGGUAAUACGGAGGAUGCGAGCGUUAUCCGGAUUUAUUGGGUUUAAAGGGUGCGUAGGCGGAAGCUUAAGUCAGCGGUGAAAUUUUUCGGCUCAACCGGAAAACUGCCGUUGAAACUGGGUUUCUUGAGUAUAUUUGAAGUAGGCGGAAUUCGUGGUGUAGCGGUGAAAUGCAUAGAUAUCACGAGGAACUCCGAUUGCGCAGGCAGCUUACUAAACUAUAACUGACGCUGAGGCACGAAAGUGUGGGUAUCAAACAGGAUUAGAUACCCUGGUAGUCCACACAGUAAACGAUGAUUACUAGUUGUUUGCGAUAAGACAGUA
rnacentral:rRNA from 1 species